rnacentral:rRNA from 1 species
GAAGGCCUUCGGGUUGUAAAGCACUUUUGUCCGGAAAGAAAACGCCGUGGUUAAUACCCGUGGCGGAUGACGGUACCGGAAGAAUAAGCACCGGCUAACUACGUGCCAGCAGCCGCGGUAAUACGUAGGGUGCAAGCGUUAAUCGGAAUUACUGGGCGUAAAGCGUGCGCAGGCGGUCCGCUAAGACAGAUGUGAAAUCCCCGGGCUUAACCUGGGAACUGCAUUUGUGACUGGCGGGCUAGAGUAUGGCAGAGGGGGGUAGAAUUCCACGUGUAGCAGUGAAAUGCGUAGAGAUGUGGAGGAAUACCGAUGGCGAAGGCAGCCCCCUGGGCCAAUACUGACGCUCAUGCACGAAAGCGUGGGGAGCAAACAGGAUUAGAUACCCUGGUAGUCCACGCCCUAAACGAUGUCAACUAGUUGUCGGGUCUUCAUUGACUUGGUAACGUAGCUAACGCGUGAAGUUGACCGCCUGGGGAGUACGGUCGCAAGAUUA